rnacentral:snoRNA from 1 species
CCUUUAGAUGAUGAAGAGAUUAUAGCAUACAUUGUAAACGGCCUAGAUGGCGAGUACGACCCUUUUGUAUCGUCGCUUGGGAUGAGGAUUGAACCCAUCUCGGUGACGGAAUUGCAUGCUCAGCUUUUAAA